rnacentral:rRNA from 1 species
GAAACAGGUUAAUAUUCCUGUACUUGGUGUUACUGCGAAGGGGGGACGGAGAAGGCUAUGUCAGCCGGGCGACGGUUGUCCCGGUUUAAGCAUGUAGGCGGAGGUUCCAGGUAAAUCCGGUACCUUAUUAACGCUGAGGUGUGAUGACGAGGCACUACGGUGCUGAAGUGAUAAAUGCCCUGCUUCCAGGAAAAGCCUCUAAGCAUCAGGUAACACGAAAUCGUACCCCAAACCGACACAGGUGGUCAGGUAG